CGUGUAGGCGGCUCGUGAAGUCAGGAGUGAAAGCCCGGGGCUCAACCCCGGGACUGCUUUUGUAAACCAGCGGGCUUGAGUACAGGAGAGGGAAGUGGAAUUCCCAGUGUAGCGGUGAAAUGCGUAGAUAUUGGGAGGAACACCAGUGGCGAAAGCGGCUUCCUGGCCUGUAACUGACGCUGAGGCGCGAAAGCGUGGGGAGCAAACAGGAUUAGAUACCCUGGUAGUCCACGCCGUAAACGAUGGGUGCUAAGUGUUGGGGGUAUCGACCCCCUCAGUGCUGUAGUUAACGCAAUAAGCACCCCGCCUGGGGAGUACGUUCGCAAGAAUGAA
rnacentral:rRNA from 1 species